CCGAAGCUCAAAGAGCUCUAAGUGACAUUCUCAUGUACAUCUUCCAGUCAAGGCCAGAGCCUGAAUUUAAACCUGUAUCUCAUGACUCAUUGUGCAUUCCUCUUCCCACUAUAUCCUGCUUGAUUUUCAUGAAAUUCAUCAUUUUUAUAGUCAUGGACUUCAGCUUCUGACAUGUGAAUGAAGAGAAUCCCCAUGAGAAAGAAAAGUAUUUAAGGCCCACUGGUGAACUUCAACACUCCUCCUUGAAGAAAAUUAGCAUCAUUCUGCAAAGACCUCUGGCAUAGGAGCCAGAAGAACUGGACUAAAAACUAGCUUCUCACCAUCUGUGUACACACUGGCUACUCCCAGCUCCAAAGGUGCCUCUUCUGUACUCUCUUCCUGAACUUGAGUCAACUCAAAACUGCAGAGGUCUCCCUCGCCCUGCCUCCACCCGCGAACCUCCCAACCAACCUGUAGGGCGCGUCAACCUCUGAGUACUAGUGGGGACAGCGGUGGCUGGCCAGAAAACGGAUUUGCUCACCAACCUGGAAUCUGUAUCUUGGAUCAGAGCCGAGGAUUUACAGCUGCCGCAGCCUCCACCAAAGCAGAAAGGCGUCCUUAUGAAUACAUGCAAAGCUUAUAAAGCCCUGGGAACCUUAACUAUAGGGUUUCAAUAGCACGGCACCUCUGAGAAAAAAGUAAGGCUAAACUUCCUGCCCCAAGGAAAUUGACCUGGUCUGUGA